rnacentral:rRNA from 1 species
UAGGGAAUCUUCCGCAAUGGACGCAAGUCUGACGGAGCAACGCCGCGUGAGUGAAGAAGGAUUUCGGUUCGUAAAACUCUGUUGUUAGAGAAGAACAGCGCAUAGAGUAACUGUUAUGCGUGUGACGGUAUCUAACCAGAAAGCCACGGCUAACUACGUGCCAGCAGCCGCGGUAAUACGUAGGUGGCAAGCGUUGUCCGGAUUUAUUGGGCGUAAAGCGAGCGCAGGCGGUCAAUUAAGUCUGAUGUGAAAGCCCCCGGCUCAACCGGGGAGGGUCAUUGGAAACUGGUUGACUUGAGUGCAGAAGAGGAGAGUGGAAUUCCAUGUGUAGCGGUGAAAUGCGUAGAUAUAUGGAGGAACGCCAGUGGCGAAGGCGACUCUCUGGUCUGUAACUGACGCUGAGGCUCGAAAGCGUGGGGAGCGAACAGG